rnacentral:tRNA from 1 species
GUCGUUGUAGUAUAGUGGUGAGUAUUCCCUUCUGUCACGCGGGUGACCCGGGUUCGCUUCCUGACAACGACG